CCUACGGGAGUCAGCAGUGAGGAAUAUUGGUCAAUGGGCGCGAGCCUGAACCAGCCAAGUCGCGUGAGGGAAGACGGCCCUAUGGAUUGUAAACCUCUUUUGUCGGGGAGUAAAAGAAGCCACGCGUGGCUUUCUGCGAGUACCCGAAGAAAAAGCAUCGGCUAACUCCGUGCCAGCAGCCGCGGUAAUACGGAGGAUCCGAGCGUUAUCCGGAUUUAUUGGGUUUAAAGGGUGCGGAGGGGGGAAGUUAAGUCAGGGGGGAAAAUUGGGGGCUUAAACGUCUCCGAGCCGUUGAAACUGGUUUUCUUGAGUGAGGGAGAAGUAUGCGGAAUGCGUGGUGUAGCGGUGAAAUGCAUAGAUAUCACGAAGAACUCCGAUUGCGAAGGCAGCAUACCGGCGCUCAACUGACGCUCAUGCACGAAAGUGUGGGUACCGAACAGGAUUAGAUACCCGAGUAGUC
rnacentral:rRNA from 1 species